rnacentral:rRNA from 1 species
GAAUCUGCCUUCAGGUUCGGGACAACCACUGGAAACGGUGGCUAAUACCGAAUGUGCCGCAACGUGAAAGAUUUAUCGCCUGAAGAUGAGCUCGCGUCCGAUUAGCUAGUUGGUGAGGUAAAAGCUCACCAAGGCGACGAUCGGUAGCUGGUCUGAGAGGAUGACCAGCCACACUGGGACUGAGACACGGCCCAGACUCCUACGGGAGGCAGCAGUGGGGAAUUUUCCGCAAUGGGCGCAAGCCUGACGGAGCAAGACCGCGUGAGGGAGGAAGGCCCAAGCGGUUGUAAACCUCUUUUCUCAGGGAAGAAGAAUGACGGUACCUGAGGAAUCAGCAUCGGCUAACUCCGUGCCAGCAGCCGCGGUAAUACGGAGGAUGCAAGCGUUAUCCGGAAUUAUUGGGCGUAAAGCGUCUGUAGGUGGGCGUUCAAGUCUGCUGUCAAAGACCGGGGCUUAACCCUGGAAAGGCGGUGGAAACUGAAAGUCUAGAGUGCGGUAGGGGUAGAGGGAAUUCCCAGUGUAGCGGUGAAAUGCGUAGAGAUUGGGAAGAACACCGGUGGCGAAAGCGCUCUGCUGGGCCUGCACUGACACUAAGGGACGAAAGCUAGGGGAGCG